AAAAAUAGUUCCAGCAAACUGUGAACGAGAAAGGCAAAGCAGUACUGGACCAAAGAAGAGACAGAGGAGGUUCAAAAUGUGUACCGGGAUGCCAUCAAGGAGUUGGUUGAAAAUAACUCCACGGUCCCUAUGCAUGUGGUGCAACAAUUAAGGGCAGGACGGUGGGAAAGAUUCUCAAGUGAGCAGAUCAGAGAAAAAAUCAGGAAUCUAGUGAAGAUAAUGAAGAAGAAAUGUUAAUGACAUUGGAAUUUUUCAGGCGACUUUUGUGUUUUAUACGCGGAUUUAUUUUGAUUAUGUUAACGUUUGAUUUAGAUAAUUAUGCUUAAUUUAUUCUACUUCUUUUGACUUUAGGAACUCUGUGAUAUUUAAUUAUUUAAUUGUUUUAGUUUAAGGAUUUAGUUUAAGGAUGAUCAAAAACUUUGAAAUAUUGAACUAAUGGAUGGUGGAGUGAGAUCACAUGCAUUAGUUCAAUAUUUCAAAGUUUGGAUCAUUUCAUUAUUUAAUUAAUUUGUUUACACAUACUCUUUUUUGAUGUUUCUUCAUAUUUAUGUAUUUUAGUAAAUAUUUUAUUAUGUUGAUACCUUGUUAACGUUUGUUUAGGAUAUGCUUAAUUUAAAGACUUCUUUUGAUUUUCAGAAUUCUGUGAUAUUUGAUUAUUUGAUUACUUAAGUUUAAGGAUGAUCCAAAAUUUAAAACAUUGAACUAAUGAAUGUUGGCAUGAGAACAAAUUCAUUAGUUCAAUAUUUCACAAUCUGGACCAUUAAUAAAUACAUAAACUAAUUAAUUUGUUUACACAUCCUCUUUUUUUUAUAUAGAUCUUCUGUUUCUAUGUAUUUUAGUGAAUAUCAUUUUAUGUUGUUAUUAUGUUUUAUAAGACACUUGAUAUCAAAUUUUGGUCAUGAUCGAA